GUGUUCACUUGGACAGCACAUAUACUAAAACUGGAAUGAUCCCAAGAUUAGCAUCGGCCCCUGUGCAAGGAUGGCAUACAAAUACAUGAAUCAUUCCAUGUUUGU
ensembl:snRNA U6 U6 spliceosomal RNA